rnacentral:rRNA from 1 species
CGAAAGCCUGACGGAGCAACGCCGCGUGAGGGAAGAAGGUCUUUGGAUUGUAAACCUCUUUUCUCAAGGAAGAAGUCAGUGACGGUACUUGAGGAAUCAGCAUCGGCUAACUCCGUGCCAGCAGCCGCGGUAAUACGGGGGAUGCAAGCGUUAUCCGGAAUUAUUGGGCGUAAAGCGUUCGUAGGCGGUUUUAUAAGUCUGCUGUCAAAGUGCGGAGCUCAACUCCGUAAGAGCAGUGGAAACUGUGAGACUUGAGUGUGGUAGGGGUAGAGGGAAUUCCCAGUGUAGCGGUGAAAUGCGUAGAUAUUGGGAAGAACACCGGUGGCGAAAGCGCGCUACUGGGCCAUAACUGACGCUGAGGGACGAAAGCUAGGGGAGCG